rnacentral:rRNA from 1 species
CGUGAGUAACCUGCCUUGGAGUGGGGAAUAACAGCUGGAAACAGCUGCUAAUACCGCAUAAUAUAUCUGUGUCGCAUGGCACUGGAUAUCAAAGAUUUAUCGCUCUGAGAUGGACUCGCGUCUGAUUAGCUAGUAGGCGGGGUAACGGCCCACCUAGGCGACGAUCAGUAGCCGGACUGAGAGGUUGACCGGCCACAUUGGGACUGAGAUACGGCCCAGACUCCUACGGAAGGCAGCAG